AUGGAUGCUAACUUUUGGAAAGGUGUGCUCCUAUGCAUAAAGGUGUUUGAGCCAUUGGUGAGAGUUCUUCGUUUGGUUGAUGGGGAUAUUAAGCCAUCAAUGGCUUGGUUGUAUGGAGAGUUGGUGAAUGCAAAGAGGGAGAUGAAGGAGGCAUUUAACAACUUGGAGAGGAACUACAAAGAUACUAUGGGCAUUGUUGAAAAGAAAAUGAAUGGAAGGCUAGAUUCUCCACUGCACAUGGCCGCAUAUGUGUUGAACCCACACUACAGUUAUGCAGAUAGCUCCGUCUUUACCACUGCAAAUGAAGGAUUUCAGGAAUGUGCUGAACAAUACUAUGCAAAUGAUCAUGAUACUUGCAUGCUGGUUGUCAAUGACGAGUUUCUGAAAUAUGAAAACAAAGAAGGAACUUUUGGAAAGAAGCUUGCAAAAGCAUGUGAAAAUAAAAGCUACAGCCCCGAUACAUACCAAGAGAAGAAAUAG
rnacentral:rRNA from 1 species